rnacentral:rRNA from 1 species
UACGUAGGGGGCGAGCGUUGUCCGGAAUUAUUGGGCGUAAAGAGCUCGUAGGCGGUUACGCAAGUCGGGUGGGAAAUCUCCAGGCUCAACCUGGAGCCUUCGCUCGAUACUGCGUUGACUAGAGUCCGGUAGGGGAGUGUGGAAUUCCCGGUGUAGCGGUGAAAUGCGCAGAUAUCGGGAGGAACACCGGCGGCGAAGGCGGCACUCUGGGCCGGUACUGACGCUGAGGAGCGAAAGCGUGGGGAGCAAACAGG